rnacentral:rRNA from 1 species
ACUCAAAGGAAUUGACGGGGACCCGCACAAGCAGCGGAGCGUGUGGUUUAAUUCGAUGCUACACGAAGCACCUCACCCAGGUUUGACAUGGCGGUGGUAGUGAAGCGAAAGCGGAACGACCCGCAAGGGAGCCGUCACAGGUGUUGCAUGGCUGUCGUCAGCUCGUGUCGUGAGAUGUUGGUUUAAGUACCCUAACGAGCGCAACCCUCGUUGCCAGUUACAGGUGUCUGGCGAGACUGCCGGCCGCAAGCCGGAGGAAGGCGGGGAUGAUGUCAAGUCAGCAUGGCCUUUAUAUCUGGGGCGACACACACGCUACAAUGGGCCGCGACAAUGGGUUGCCAAACCGCGAGGCGGAGCCAAUCCCAUAAAACGGUCCUCAGUUCAGAUUGCAGGCUGCAACUCGCCUGCAUGAAGUCGGAGUUGCUAGUAAACGCGCGUCAGCUAUAGCGCGUUGAAUACGUUCCCGGGUCUUGCACACACCGCCCGU